rnacentral:rRNA from 1 species
UACGUAGGUCCCGAGCGUUGUCCGGAUUUAUUGGGCGUAAAGCGAACGCAGGUGGUUUAUUAAGUCUGGUGUAAAAGGCAGUGGCUCAACCAUUGUAUGCAUUGGAAACUGGUAGACUUGAGUGCAGGAGAGGAGAGUGGAAUUCCAUGUGUAGCGGUGAAAUGCGUAGAUAUAUGGAGGAACACCGGUGGCGAAAGCGGCUCUCUGGCCUGUAACUGACACUGAGGCUCGAAAGCGUGGGGAGCGAACAGG